rnacentral:rRNA from 1 species
AGUGAACGCUGGCGGUAGGCCUAACACAUGCAAGUCGAACGGCAGCACAGUAAGAGCUUGCUCUUACGGGUGGCGAGUGGCGGACGGGUGAGGAAUACAUCGGAAUCUACUUUUUCGUGGGGGAUAACGUAGGGAAACUUACGCUAAUACCGCAUACGACCUACGGGUGAAAGCAGGGGAUCUUCGGACCUUGCGCGAUUGAAUGAGCCGAUGUCGGAUUAGCUAGUUGGCGGGGUAAAGGCCCACCAAGGCGACGAUCCGUAGCUGGUCUGAGAGGAUGAUCAGCCACACUGGAACUGAGACACGGUCCAGACGCCUACGGGAGGCAGCAGUGGGAAUAUUGGACAAUGGGCGCAAGCCUGAUCCAGCCAUACCGCGUGGGUGAAGAAGGCCUUCGGGUUGUAAAGCCCUUUUGUUGGGAAAGAAAAGCAGCAGGUUAAUACCCCGCUGUUCUGACGGUACCCAAAGAAUAAGCACCGGCUAACUUCGUG